GACGAACGCUGGCGGCGUGCUUAACACAUGCAAGUCGAACGGAAAGGCCCUGCUUUUGUGGGGUGCUCGAGUGGCGAACGGUUGAGUAACACGUGAGUAACCUUCCCUUGACUUUGGGAUAACGUCAGGAAACUGGGGCUAAUACCGGAUAGGAGCUCCUGCUGCAUGGUGUGGGUUGGAAAGUUUCGGCGGUUGGGGAUGGACUCGCGGCUUAUCAGCUUGUUGGUGGGGUAGUGGCUUACCAAGGCUUUGACGGGUAGCCGGCCUGAGAGGGUGACCGGCCACAUUGGGACUGAGAUACGGCCCAGACUCCUACGGGAGGCAGCAGUGGGGAAUAUUGCACAAUGGGCGGAAGCCUGAUGCAGCAACGCCGCGUGCGGGAUGACGGCCUUCGGGUUGUAAACCGCUUUCGCCUGUGACGAAGCGUGAGUGACGGUAAUGGGUAAAGAAGCACCGGCUAACUACGUG
rnacentral:rRNA from 1 species